GGAGAGGACUGUAGCUCAGUGGUAGAGCAUUUGCCUUUCAUGCAGAAGGUCGCAGGUUCAAUCCCUGGCAUUUCCA